GCUGAACUUAAGCAUAUCAAUGCGA
rnacentral:rRNA from 1 species